rnacentral:rRNA from 1 species
UACAGAGGGUGCAAGCGUUAAUCGGAAUUACUGGGCGUAAAGCGCACGCAGGCGGUUGGUUAAGUCAGAUGUGAAAGCCCCGGGCUCAACCUGGGAAUUGCAUUUGAAACUGGCCAACUAGAGUAUGUGAGAGGGGGGUAGAAUUCCAAGUGUAGCGGUGAAAUGCGUAGAGAUUUGGAGGAAUACCAGUGGCGAAGGCGGCCCCCUGGCACAAUACUGACGCUCAGGUGCGAAAGCGUGGGGAGCAAACAGG